UAGUAGACUUUGUUUUGCAUAUACAUGUUUUCCAAGUUACAUGAUGUUCAUAAGCAGGGUAUAACUGUGUAUGCAAAGCGAAAGUUAAACU
rnacentral:precursor_RNA from 1 species